GGGGGAUCCUGUGUGUAAGAAUAUUAAAUAGUUAACUUGUUUAUAUGUAUUUUAUGCUUUUAUAAGGUUUAUAACAUGAUUAUUGCUGACUGAAGGAAUAUUGAAUACUCAAUAUACGACAUAAUGCUGACUGUGACAGACUAAGGUAUUUCUUCUAUAGGAUGUAAGACAAUGCUAAAAUUUCAGGAUGUCUUGCCCAUUCCGAUUUCAGGAUAUUCUUUUCCAGACGUAUGCAAAAGCUUAUCUUUCCAUUGUCAGAAUAACGUAAUAUAAGGAAGUAAUAAAUCUUAUAGUCUGUACUGUAUUUGCAUAUACCAUGGCUAAUGUAAGCAAACUAUGUAUAAAAGCCAGCUCUGGAAUACACUCAUUUGAGAGUCUUGUAAAGCUGUUGUCCGUGUGUUAUUGCUUACAAAUGAUUCUCCAUCAACGUUGAUUAUGGUGACCGAGGGAUCGAGAACCGAGGGGAUUAGAGUCCAUUACAACAUUAACCCUUUCAGCUUGGUGUCUAGAAGUGGGAUAGAUGAAGUGGAUCAGCAAAACCAUUUGCGGUGAGUAGCCUUUUUGUGUCUUAUUUGACGCUGAUUGUCUAUGACCCCCCUUUGGUUCAGUAAGACUGUAUCCAGUAGAUAGGAAAGGUGUAAGGACUCUAGUUAUAUUGAGACUAUAAGAGGUCUCCGGUUUAUUAGACAUUUGGUCUAAAUAUAUAUAGGGGUUCUUGGUAACCCAGGUUAGUAUCUAAGAUAGAUACAGGUUUUUGAGACCAUAAGAGGUCUCCGGUUUAUUAUAGGGUUUUGGUAACCCAGGUUAGUAUCUAAGAUAGAUACAGGGUAUCUCAGGUAGAUACAGGUUUUUGAGACCAUAAGAGGUCUCCGGUUUAUUAAGUCUAUAGGUGUUCUGAGCAGCACGGUUUGUAGAUCUAUAAGUAUAACCCAAACUUCUCUUUCUCCCGGUCACCUUUGUUUGUCUUAAGUGUUCUUUGUGGGUGAUUGUUUGUCUAUAUUGGGGACACACUUUGGUAAGUUAGUAGUGUCCCCACUCUGAGUCAGC
rnacentral:lncRNA from 1 species